UGGGAAUUUUGGACAAUGGGCGAAGCCUGAUCCAGCCAUGCCGCGUGCAGGAUGAAGGCCUUCGGGUUGUAAACUGCUUUUGUACGGAACGAAAAGACUCUGGUUAAUACCUGGGGUCCAUGACGGUACCGUAAGAAUAAGCACCGGCUAACUACGUGCCAGCAGCCGCGGUAAUACGUAGGGUGCAAGCGUUAAUCGGAAUUACUGGGCGUAAAGCGUGCGCAGGCGGUUAUAUAAGACAGAUGUGAAAUCCCCGGGCUCAACCUGGGAACUGCAUUUGUGACUGUAUAGCUAGAGUACGGCAGAGGGGGAUGGAAUUCCGCGUGUAGCAGUGAAAUGCGUAGAUAUGCGGAGGAACACCGAUGGCGAAGGCAAUCCCCUGGGCCUGUACUGACGCUCAUGCACGAAAAGCGUGGGGAGCAAACAGGAUUAGAUACCCUGGUAGUCCACGCCCUAAACGAUGUCAACUGGUUGUUGGGUCUUCACUGACUCAGUAACGAAGCUAACGCGUGAAGUUG
rnacentral:rRNA from 1 species